UGGUCCACCCUGUUUCGACGAAUGCAAUCAACCUGGCGUGCACAAACAGAAGAUCAAACAGAACAAGUUGUCUUACAACUUUAGGCUGUGCACGCCAUAAACAAGGAGAAGUUCAAAUCAAUCUAGAUAGAUGGUACUUGCAUUAAAACUCCAACAAAUGAAUGAGUUUACCAUACAUAAUGGGUUUGUCAUGUCGAAGUUCAAGUUAGGGGUGAUGGUGGUACUUGUUCAAUUCAAUUCUGCACCUUUUUAUAAUUUACCUCAUCCUUUGUUCUAAUAUUAGCCCAUUGUAGAUUGGAUCAGAUUAUCACCAAAGAUAGACACAAAAUGCUGGAGUAACUCAGUGAGACUGGCAGCGUCGCUGGAUAGAAGAAAUGGGUGACGUUUUGGGUCGAGACCACCAAUCUGUACUCCCUACAGUUUAAUCCUGUCCUGCAGUAAAAUUACCAACCCUCUGCAAGUUGCAUAAACAGAUGAGCACAUCUAUGAUCUGCGAAUUUUGUGUUGAACUUUGAAGUUUUCUGCACAUCAAAUACCAAACUUAUAACCUUCUGCAUUAUUGACAAGUGUGAUUAAAUACAGUAAUGGAAUUUCUGCCUUACAUUAUAUGUCGGCUGAGCACCUUUUGAGCAAUAUUGUUCUGAUGCAAGACUUUCUGAAAACUAUCUAAUAAUCAUGUGGAUUCCUCUCAAGACUAUCAGUAAGGAGAAAUUGAAAAUGAGAGCCUAGCUAAGUUCUCUGUGGACAAACAAGUAUCAAAUCAAUGUAACAAGGUUAAGUAUCUCUGAAAUGGAAAUUUACAAGAAUAUUGAAAUGUGGAGGUCCAUAUUGAAAGAAAAGAGGGCUCUUUCUUGGUGCUGUACAAAGUACCUUUGUUAAAUCUACUGAGAACGAGUUGGAGAGGAAAAUAGACCAAGCAACCUGUUAACCAGGAAAUCAUUACAGUCUGUAAACUCUCAUUUUACAGAAAGGUUGUAUUCUUUGAACUGCUCAAUAUGCUUAAAAAUAAUUCUGUACUUGCAAUGAAUUGUUUAUACAAGGCAAAAUAUCGAUAGUAUGAUUUCCAAAUUUAUUUGGAACUGCUAACAUUCAAUAUUUCUAUAAAUAUGCAUACAGAUAGAAAACUCAUUAAAAUCUUAUUUUGAUUUGUGUAAUUAAGUAAUUUUGACGACAGCUUUAGAGCUUUUCUGACCAUUUCGAAAUGAUCAAAAUAUUAACUUAAAACUUUUGAAAGCAUGUUAUUAUUUUCCCUUCAAAUGAAACACAUACCAAUGUGACAUGUGGUCAGAUAUUGAGAAUAUUCAUUUACUUAGUAUUUCCCACUGCAGAUCAUUUGCUUUAAUAGGUGAAUGGAAAGUACACCAACCAAGAGUUAUGUAAUCCCUCAGGAGUGGUUUGCACAGUUUAAUCAUCCUGCUUUAUGGAAAAUAAAAUACUGAGUAUAUUUUUCCAUUCGUCUCAUUUGGUCUCUAACUGAGAUUCAUGAUAUUCCAAAAUACAUUUAGAAACAUAGAAACAUAGAAAAUGGCUGCAGGAGGAGGCCAUUUGGCCCAUUCGAGCCAGCACCGCCAUUCAUUGUGAUCAUGGCUGAUCAUCCACAAUCAGUACUCGUGCCUGCCUUCUCCCCAUAUCACUUGAUUCCGCUAGCCUCUAGAGCUCUAUCUAACUCUCUUUUAAAUUCAUCCAGUGAAUUAGCCUCCACUGCCUUCUGUGGCAGAGAAUUCCGCUCUGGGUGAAAACGUUUUUUCUUAUCUCAGUUUUAAAUGGCCUCCCCUUUAUUCUUAGACCGUGGCCCCUGGUUCUGGACUCCCCCAACAUUGGGAACUGUUUUCCUGCAUCUAGCUUGUCCAGUCCUUUUAUAAUUGUAUAUGUUUCUAUAAAAUCCCCUCUCAUCCCUCUAAAUUCCAGUGAUUACAAGCCCAGUCUUUCCUCAUAUGACGGUCCAGCCAUCCCGGGGAUUAACCUCGUGCACCUACGCUGCACUGCCUCAAUAGCAGGUAUGUCCGUCCUCAAAUUAGUAGACCAAAUUAGUUGCACAUAAUAUUCCAGAUGUGGUCUCACCUCAGUUUACCUUAGUUUACAAGAAACCAACCUUUAUCAGUUGUUCCAAUUUAAAAAGAAAAUAAUUUCAGUCUGAACCAUUUCAACUGUAUUGAUUGAUACUUAGCCUGGCUCUCCUGUUCUGCAUGGGGAAAUUGUAGCUUUGGUGUUACUCAAUACUUAUGCAGAUAUUUCUGAUUGUCUAUCUCCUGUGAUAUUAAUGACAAUUUCCGAGCUGUCUAUUUAAAUAUAAUUGUGGCAAAAUAUUGGAAUUCAUAUUUAAAUAAAGGUUUUCAAAAAUG